GUAGUUAUGUGAGCCAGUAAGAUCUCUUUGGGCUUAAGCCAAUUUGGGUUAUUUUGUGAUCUGUGACCCAAAGAGCCCUUCGUGAUAAAUGUCACCAAAGUGAGAGCCUGGAUGUCCAGUCCUCAUAAGGACUCUGUGCAGGCCCGAAUGGAGCCACCAGCCUCACCGCCGGCUUACCCCUCCACAUGAAGCCAUAUGCCAUACUGCUCACAGAGUUCUUUCAAUCUCCCAAUCUUGUCUGUGUGUCCUACUGCUGCCGUUCCUAGGAUAAAACACAUCAGGGCAUUAAAAGGAACAAAUGUUUUCUAAGGCUUUAUACCUUAAACACUUUUAUACACAUUAUCGCCCUAGGAGGGAAGUGACUUAUUAUAUCCCUAUUUUAUUGAGAUUUUCUUUGUGGAAGGACUUAAAAUCAGUGUUUGUGAGUUGACUUAUUACAAGCUUUGAAGAGUAUGUAAUCUCUAUUACAUGUAUCUAAUUGUGUCAUUGAAUUCUUUUAUAUACUUAUUUUCUAUCUACUUGAUCUGCUGACUCAUGAGAAAUAUAUUCAAAUCUCCCACCAA
rnacentral:lncRNA from 10 species